UCUCUCGACCUAAACGAUCUUACUGUGAGUACCUAUUAAUGUUGUUUAUUGUCUGUUGUCGUUCAAACAGAUUUCGUAUUUAUAAUUUUACAUCAGCUAAAAUAAUAUAUGUUGUGCUUUAUAUAAAAGGGCGACAUAAUGAUGUCAUGUUCUGCGUGAAAGAGUAAUUACACAUUUUAUUUUAUAAUAUAGUAGUAACAUUUUAAGUUAAAAUGUAAAUGUAUACAUAGAUAUCAACCUAUAUAUAGCCCAACCUCAAUCGAUCGAGGUUGAUAGCUUUUUUUUACCUCAUCAUAAUGAGCACAGAAAACUAUGGCUUUGAUUUUACUUUUAAAUGCUUUUAUGUCAUACCCAUUGUUAGUUGUGCACAAAGUGCAUCAUUAUUUAUGGAAUUUGAUUCUGCUAAUUCCCAAUGUUACCUUCAAGUGAGCACAAAGCCAAAGAGCCACAAAGUAAUGGGGGAUGGGGAGUGGAUGGCAAGGCUUAAGGCAUUUGCCAGCACUGGGGUUUGGCCUUCCAAUGCAGGGAAUAGACCAGCCCCAAGGCAGAAGAAAUGGCAUGAUAUCUAUCAGAAGAUAGAAAAAUGUCCCAUGCAAGUUCAGGGACAGACCACCCUUUUAGGAGCGUCUGUCACUUGUGACUGUGGCUUUCACACUGWUAAACCUGCACUGCAGCCUCCUUCUGCACCUCCUUCUUUGACCCCCCCAGUCUGUGGCUUCACAAUCUACUUCUGGUGAUACAGCAACAGCCACUCGCUGUUUCCUGAGGUCCCCUCCAUCUUUGUCAAGGUUCACUAAGUCCCAUUUUGGAGGUUCUCUUUCGGAUUCAAUGAAGCCCAACUUGGUGGCCCGGAAGACACCAAGUCCCUUUCCAUCCUCUGUGAGGAGCCCAAGUCCAUCUCUAUCCUCUGUGAGGAGCCCAAGUCCAUCUCUAUCCUCUGUGAGGAGCCCAAGUCCAUCUCUAUCCUCUGUGAGGAGCUUAAGUCCAUCUCCACCCUCUGUGAGGAACCCUAGUGUUGCUCCAUCCUCACAGACACACUCCAGCGAGACAGUUGCAGCUGUGAGUACAGCAGUGUAUAUUCAUUAAAGUAAUGCAGUUCCAAGAUAUCUUUUCAAACAUAUUUAUGUUCUGUUGUUUUUAGGAAGAGUCUUCAACGUCACUGUUAAAACCAGCUGCAGGUGGUGAUUCAGCUUCUUUCUGGUUGCCGAGUGAAAUGAGAAAAACCAUCCCURUGYAGGAUCAAAGAUGGAUCUCAAAUACCCUCUUUAAAUCUGGCAAACUGCGCCCAGAUUUAAAGCUGUGGUACGAGCCUCCUGCACCGGCCCUCAUUUACCAUCAGGUGCCAACA